ACGGAAAAAGUGCAGGAAAAAAUGGCAGCAAAAGAAGAAGAAAAACAUGAAUCAGUCGCAGAUUGGCAUCCUAUUUGAAGCAUCAUGUGUUUGUUUUCUUUG
rnacentral:ribozyme from 1 species